AUGGGGUCAGAGGAACCUUCUGAUCAUAGACAGGCCAGCAAAGAGCACAAGUGGCGGUGUGCUAUGGAAGAGGAGCUUGAGUCGAUCAGGAGUAACAAGACUUGGCAGCUCACCACACUUCCACCUGGACAAAAACCUAUAGGCCUCAAGUGGGUUUAUAAACUGAAGAAGGAUUCAGCUGGAAGGGUUGUCAAGUACAAAGCACGCCUAGUAGCGGAGGGAUAUGUGCAACGUCCAGGGAUUGAUUUUGAAGAAGUUUUUGCGCCAGUUGCAAGACUCGAGACAGUGCGUUUGCUGAUAGCACUGGCAGCGCAAGAGAAGUGGGAGCUUCACCACAUGGAUGUCAAGUCUGCAUUUUUAAACGGCGAUCUGUUCGAGGAGGUGUAUGUCACCCAGCCACCUGGGUAUGAGAAGAAAGGUGAUGAGGAUAAGGUGCUAAAGUUGAGCAAGGCUCUCUAUGGGCUGCGACAAGCACCGCGUGCCUGGAACUCAAAACUUGAUCAGACACUAGUCUCAAUGGGGUUUGAAAAAUGCCCAUUAGAACAUGCUGUCUACAAGAAAUUCAGUGGGAACUCAACUCUGCUGGUUGGGGUGUAUGUGGAUGACCUCAUAAUUACAGGAGGCAGUAGCAAGGAGAUUGCUGAGAUCAAAGAGCAGAUGAAAAGGAAAUUCUGCAUGAGUGAUUUGGGCCUGCUAAGCUAUUAUCUUGGGAUUGAGGUAAAACAAACUCAAUCUGCUAUCACCAUUAGCCAAUCCUCUUAUGCAGCUCGGAUUCUGGAGAAGUGUGGUAUGGCAGAUUGUUAUUCAACCAAAGUUCCCAUGGAGCCAAGGCAGAAAUUGAGCAAGCAUAGUAAGAAUCCUCCUGUUGAUGCGACGAUGUAUCGUAGCAUUGUUGGUAGCUUGCGCUACCUAGUCCACUCUCGCCCUGACAUAGCAUACGCAGUUGGCAUUGUGAGUCGAUUCAUGGAGUCACCCACAACAGAGCAUAUGGCUGCCGUCAAACAGAUCUUGAGGUAUGUUAAAGGUACUCUGGAUUAUGGAGUUGUUUAUAAGUUCAGUGAAAUAGGACUGCAGCUGCGUGGCUACUCUGACAGUGACCAUGCUGGGGAUGUGGAUGAUAGAAAAAGCACCACUGGAGCUGUCUUCUAUCUGGGUUCAAACUUGAUUACCUGGUUGUCUCAGAAGCAGAAGGUUGUGGCUAUUUCCUCAUGCGAGGCAGAGUAUAUUGCUGGUGCAACGGCCGCAUGUCAGGGAGUGUGGCUGGGGAGAUUACUUGCUGAUUUGAUGAAGAAGGAGGUGGAACCAGUAUCACUAAAAAUUGACAAUCAGUCAGCAGUACAGUUGUGCAAAAACCCAGUUCACCAUGAGAGGAGUAAACACAUAGAUGUGCGUUUUCAUUUCAUCCGUGACUGUGUGGAAAAAGGGCUUGUUUCAGUUGAGCCUGUGAGGACAAACAACCAGCUCGCAGACAUUCUUACAAAGCCUCUCGCCAAACAGAAAUUUGUGGAGAUGUGCGAGCGAGUUGGGGUGCAACCGUGCUAG
rnacentral:rRNA from 1 species